UGGCUGACCGGUAGCACCUGCGGUGUUUUCUGUACAGUACGGUGUGGAGUGAGCUGCGGCGCCUCGGCAGCCUGGCCAAAUGCGAAUGACACAACUCAAAAGAUUUCACGGCAACAAUGGGAGCCGCCGACUGGAAAAGUGCAGCUUUUGUGAUUUGUAGUUCGUGUAAUAUCAACUGGGCGAAUGCAUCUUUGAUUUCCUGUGCAAGGUGACUGAAGUAUUUACAACCCGCCCGAGUGUGCAAAAACCAACCCACGCAUUUAAAAGGACAAUCAAAAAUGGCUUCCGUCCAAUACUUGUGUGUACAUAAAGGUAAAUAUCUCUUUCUCAAUGACCCCCCCUGUUAAAAAGCAUGCUUAAAAAAA